rnacentral:rRNA from 1 species
UACGUAGGUGGCAAGCGUUAUCCGGAAUUAUUGGGCGUAAAGCGCGCGCAGGCGGUUCCUUAAGUCUGAUGUGAAAGCCCACGGCUCAACCGUGGAGGGUCAUUGGAAACUGGGGAACUUGAGUGCAGAAGAGAAAAGCGGAAUUCCACGUGUAGCGGUGAAAUGCGUAGAGAUGUGGAGGAACACCAGUGGCGAAGGCGGCUUUUUGGUCUGUAACUGACGCUGAGGCGCGAAAGCGUGGGGAGCAAACAGG